rnacentral:rRNA from 1 species
UACGUAGGGGGCAAGCGUUGUCCGGAUUUAUUGGGCGUAAAGAGCGUGUAGGCGGCUUGGUAGGUCCGCUGUGAAAACUCGAGGCUCAACCUCGAGACGUCGAUGGAAACCAUCUAGCUAGAGUCCGGAAGAGGAGAGUGGAAUUCCUGGUGUAGCGGUGAAAUGCGCAGAUAUCAGGAAGAACACCCGUGGCGAAGGCGGCUCUCUGGUACGUGACUGACGCUGAGACGCGAAAGCGUGGGGAGCAAACAGG